rnacentral:rRNA from 1 species
GUGGGGUAACGGCCUACCAAGGCAUCGACGGGUAGCUGGUCUGAGAGGACGAUCAGCCACACUGGGACUGAGACACGGCCCAGACUCCUACGGGAGGCAGCAGUAGGGAAUCUUGCACAAUGGGCGAAAGCCUGAUGCAGCAACGCCGCGUGGGGGAUGAAGGCUUUCGGGUCGUAAACCCCUUUCAGGAGGGACGAAUUUGACGGUACCUGCAGAAGAAGAUGCGGCCAACUACGUGCCAGCAGCCGCGGUAACACGUAGGGAGCAAGCGUUGUCCGGAUUUAUUGGGCGUAAAGAGCUCGUAGGUGGCUCGGUAAGUCGGGUGUGAAAACUCAGGGCUCAACCCUGAGACGCCACCCGAUACUGCUGUGGCUAGGGUCCGGUAGGGGAGCAUGGAAUUCCUGGUGUAGCGGUGAAAUGCGCAGAUAUCAGGAGGAACACCAGCGGCGAAGGCGGUGCUCUGGGCCGGUACUGACACUGAGGAGCGAAAGCAUGGGGAGCAAACAGGAUUAGAUACCCUGGUAGUCCAUGCCGUAAACGUUGGGCACUAGGUGUGGGACCCUGUCAACGGGUUCCGCGCCGUAGCUAACGCAUUAAGUG